AUGAACAAAGCUAGUGGAGGUGAUGGCAUUCCAGCUGAGCUAUUUCAAAUCCUGAAAGAUGAUGCUGUGAAAGUGCUGCAUUCAAUACGCCAGCAAAUUUGGAAAACUCAGCAGUGGCCACAGGAUUGGAAAAGGUCAGUUUUCAUCCCAAUCCCAAAGAAAGGCAAUGCCAAAGAAUGCUCAAACUACCACACAAUUGUACUCAUCUCACACACUGGUAAAGCAAUGCUCAAAAUUCUCCAAGCCAGGCUUCAGCAAUAUGUGAACCGUGAAUUUCCUGAUGUUCAAGCUGGUUUUCAAAAAGGCAGAGGAACCAGAGAUCAAAUUGCCAACAUCCGCUGGAUCAUGGAAAAAGCAAGAGAGUUCCAGAAAAACAUCUAUUUCUGCUUUAUUGACUAUGCCAAAGCCUUUGACUGUGUGGAUCACAAUAAACUGUGGAAAAUUCUGAAAGAGAUGGGAAUACCAGACCACCUGACCUGCCUCUUGAGAAAUCUGUAUGCAGGUCAGGAAGCAACAGUUAGAACUGGAUAUGGAACAACAGACUGGUUCCAAAUCGGAAAAGGAGUCCAUCAAGGCUGUAUAUUGUCACCCUACUUAUUUAACUUCUAUGCAGAGUACAUCAUGAGAAACGCUGGACUGGAAGAAACACAAGCUGGAAUCAAGAUUGCCGGGAGAAAUAUCAAUAAACUCAGAUAUGCAGAUGACACCACCCUUAUGGCAGAAAGUGAAGAGGAGCUAAAAAGCCUCUUGAUGAAAGUAAAAGAGGAGAGUGACAAAGUUGGCUUAAAGCUCAACAUUCAGAAAACUAAGAUCAUGGCAUCUGGUCCCAUCACUCCAUGGGAAAUAGGUGGGGAAACAGUGGAAAUAGUGUCAGACUUUAUUUUGCGGGGCUCCAAAAUCACUGCAGAUGGUGACUACAGCCAUGAAAUUAAAAGAUGCUUACUCCUUGGAAGAAAAGUUAUGACCAACCUAGACAGUAUAUUCAAAAGCAGAGAUAUUACUUUGCCGACUAAGGUCCAUCUAGUCAAGGCUAUGUUUUUUCCAAUAGUCAUGUAUGGAUGUGAGAGUUGA
rnacentral:lncRNA from 1 species